rnacentral:tRNA from 1 species
CUGGUGUUUCGAGGACGGCCUGCUGGUGUGAGAGUGGCACCCCGCACGCUUCGUCCAGAGCGUGAGGAAAGGUUCGAAGCCCUCGACGCCUGG